rnacentral:lncRNA from 1 species
UGAACUCUAAGAAAAAAAGGAGGAAGAAAGGCUCUUUGUUUACCAGGAAGAAGCAGAGGAACGAGCCGUCCAAAACACCUACUGCAAAGGAGAAAACUGAGGGCACGCCAUCAGCUGCAAAUACCCAAACUGAGAGCACGUCUUCUGCUGUAGCAAAGCAGAAAACCAAGGGCACAUGCUCUGCUGCAACAGGACCGCAAACCAUGACACCUCGCUCUGCUGGAAAGAAGCGCAAAUCUGUAAAUGAACCUUCAGUGAACUCAUUCUCAGCAUUGACGGAACAGAAAACUGGGAAGCCAUCCUCAGCAAUGAAGAGGAAAGAGGCAUCCAAAACACCUGCUGCAAAGGAGAAAACCGAGGGCACGCCGUCAGCUACAAAUACCCAAACAGAGAGCACGCCCUCUGCUGUAGCAAAGCAGAAAACAAAGGGCACACGCUCAGCUGCAACAGGGCUGGAAACCAUGACAGCUCGCUCUGCUGG